rnacentral:tRNA from 1 species
GCCAGUGUGGCGGAAUUGGCAGACGCGCGGGACUCAAAAUCCCGUUCCUUCACAGGAGUGUCGGUUCGAGACCGACCACUGGUA